rnacentral:lncRNA from 1 species
UCUGAGUCUUCUUCAUCGCAGACAGGCAUGUGAGCCAUGGGUGGACGGCCAUGGUUGGCCGGAAGCCUCAUCCGGGCUUGAUGGUCAUAGUUUAUGGCUUACACUAUUCUACUUCUAAUGAUUACAAGCUUGUUGGAUAUAGCGAUAGCGAUUGGGGUGGAGACAUAGAUGACCGAAAAAGCACAAGUGGUUUCGUGUUUUAUAUUGGAGAUACGGCUUUCACAUGGAUGUCGAAGAAGCAACCGAUUGUCACUCUAUCCACUUGUGAAGCGGAGUAUGUAGCGGCUACUUCAUGUGUGUGCCAUACUAUUUGGUUAAGAAAUCUUUUAAAGGAGUUAAGCUUACCACAAGAUGAACCAACGAAGAUAUUUGUGGAUAACAAGUCGGCAAUAGCAUUGGCGAAGAACCCGGUCUUCCAUGAUCGAAGUAAACACAUUGACACACGCUAUCACUACAUUAGAGAGUGUGUUAACAAGAAGAACGUGCUAUUGGAGUAUGUGAAGACACAUGACCAAGUAGCCGAUAUUUUCACCAAGCCUCUCAAGCGCGAAGAUUUGAUCAAGAUGAUGAGUUUGCUUGGAGUAACAAAAUCAAGUUUAAGAGGGGGUGUUGAAAGUUAAACUUGAUUUUGAAUCAAGUUUAAUUAUUGGGUUAAUUACCCAAUAAUCAUUUGAUGGGCCAAAUCCAAGUUCUAGAGUUUUCUCUACAAAUAUCAUCAUCUCCACCUCCUUAAAAAGUUCUAGAAAUUCUCUAGAAUGAUCUUCCAUCACCUCCUUAAACAUAAUAAUCUAGAUAUUUUUAUAGAAUAAUCUAGAUAAUUGUAUUAUUAUAAUCUAGAUAUUAUGAUGGAAUAAUCUAGAUUUAGAAUUAAAAUAUUUUAGAUAUUUUGUAGUUUGGAGGCUAUAAAUACCACCUCCCUCUCUCAUUUGUAGUAAGAUUGUGAAGUUGUCUUCAAGUUAAAAUCAAAGUAAUAAAAAUUUUAUUUCCUAAAACUCUCUUUCAAACACUUAAACACUUUCUCCAUUACUUCUAAAAGAAUUUUACUCGAACAGAGUAGACAUAUUUAUUCUGAUUCUGUUGGUCUUAAUUAAUGAUUAGUCCAAUUCACGUGGAAAAUUUGAAUUCUUCAUUGACUAAAUAUAUUGAUGGAAGCAUAAUAUAUAAUCUUCAAUUCAUCUUCUUACCACGUACACGUUACCUAGAGUUCGUGAAGCAAUAUGUUUUAUAUAUUUUAAUUAAGAGUAGAGAGUUUAGAUUUCAGAGUUUUGAAACUCUUGUGCACAUAUAUAAUUAAGAUAUUUAGAUUUUGUGGUUUAUUCAACUUUUUCAAUAUCAAUUGAUAAAUGUAGAAAAAAUUUUGUAUAUUUUAAUUUUCUUUGAUAUUUCGUUAUAGGAAUAUAAGAAAACGAUUUCAGAAAUAUUAACAAAAUGAAUUCAUCUUCGUUCUGUCGUCGACGAUUUCACCAACACAAUUAAACGAUUAAUAAAAGUUGUAAACUGUUAAUUUCUGUACCGUUCUGAAGUUUUGGUCUAUAAUUGCAAAAAAACAUUUGUCUAAUUGUUUGAUGAACCGGAAACAUUGAAACGAACAUGAUUUUGUAGUUGGUUCCUGUUAACAAACAAUAUACUAGAUACAUGUCGUUCGUUGCUAAUACCAAUGACACAUGAACGACAUAUCCUACUGCACUACUUAACUUAUAAAUUCACUAGGAUUUUUGUUACGCCACAAUGUUACUUUUAACUUAAAUUUGUGCAAUAUAAUCACUCCUUCCAGGAGGGGAAAUCAACUGAUAAUAUACAUCACUUUUAUUAAACAUAAGCAGCAACAACAACACUCCUUAGUAAUUAUUAUGUCAUCAAACAGAAGCACCUUUUAGGGGUUUAAAGUCCCCUAUUUAGUUUUGAUAAGAUAGAGAAAUCCAUCACACACAUACAUCUUAUAAAUGUAUUAUUUGGGAUACAUAAUCAUUACUUUCUUACUUGAACCGGCAUAGUAUUUAGGUGGAGUCUAGAGUCCCUUACUCCCCCACCCGAGUUUCUGGCCGCUGCUUUUGCUCACCCGCCAAUUCUCAGUAGCCUUCACCACUACUCCGCCUUGGUGCUGCAUCCCGUGCCCGCCCUGGUGUUGUAGUCCGUGCCCCCUCUGGUGUUGCAGUCCGUGCCCGCCCUGAUGCUGCAUUCCGUGCCCAUCCUGGUGCUUCAUCUCGUGCCCGCCCUGGUGCUGCCUUCCGUGCCCGCCCUGGUGCUGCAGUCUGUGCCCGCUCUGGUGCUUCAUCUCGUGCCCGACCUGGUGCUGCAUUCCGUGCCCCCCUUGGUGCUGCAUUCCGUGCCCACCCUGGUGCUUCAUUCUGUGCUCCCCUUGGUGCUGCAUCCCGUGCCCGCCUUGAUGCUGCAACCCGUGCUCUCCUUGGUGUUGCAUUCCAUGCUCGCCCUGGUGCUGCAUCCCAUGUAUGUUGUGGUGUUGCAUCCCGUGUCCGCCAUGGUGUUGCAUCCCAUGUCCACCGUGGUGCUGCAUCCCGUGCCCUCCAUGGAAUGCAUCUUCAUGUUGUCCCAGCAUUCCAUUACCCAUCUUCCCCUGCAAAAUGAUCAUUAAGAAAAUUGAAAACAUACAUAUUAAACUGAUAGGAUGACAAUUGGCAAAGAACGUCUCAAAAGGUUCUAUAAAAUUGGUGCUUCUUUUGUACUAUAGUUUAUUGUUAUUUUUUUUUAAUUUAAGUUUAUUGUUAUUAUAGAACAAAAAGCACAACCUUUUUCCUAAAAUUUAGCUUCAAAACCCAAGUGGCCUGAUGCUCUAAGCUAUGGUUUCCUUUGCCUAUACUCUAGGAAAAGUCUCACUAACGGUUUAUUACACAUUACUUUUGAUUUUAGGCAAAUAUCAGUAUCUAUGCUCAGAAGACCAAAGAAUUAAGUCUGUAUGCAUGCUUUUUUAUUAAUUAAGUGAGCAAGAGAGAGAAUAAUGUUUUUACCAUUUUACCCUUUUUCUAAACACUUGAUUAUUUGUCUCUCUUCCAAAUCCUUCUCUUUCCAAAUCAUCUUCUUUCUUCAUCGUCACUUCCAUUUUUUUCAAACAGAUUUUAUAUCCAAUUCUCCAUUUGGUUAAUAAAAUUCAUUGUUUUUAUAUGUAACACACAAUUAUCACCAAACGAUUCAUAAAAAUAGAGAGAACUUACAUGAGUUUAGAUGGAUUAAACUUUUAAUUUGAAGAAUUUUGGGAUGAAAAUUAUAGUUUUGUAAUUUAAAGUGAAGAUGGAGAGGACGAAGAUAAAGGAAAUUUGCAGGUGAACAUGGGUUGGAGUUGCAGGUGACAAUGAAAGAAGAAAAAAAUUUGGAAGAAUGACGACAGAGGAGGAUACCCGAGAAGAAUGAAAUUUUAUUGUUUUUUACGUCCACGAUAACACAUAAGUUAACCGUGAUAAACAAGUUAUAACGAUAAAUAAAUAUGCUAAUGCAUAAGUUAACGAUGCUAAUGCAUAAGUUAACGGUAAUAAAUAAAUUGUUGAAAUAAAUAAACAUGUCAAUAUAUAAGUUAAUUGAUAUCAAUCAGAUAAUAAAUAAUUUAACAUGAUAAAUAUAAAUUUAUCAUAUAACUUGAAAAGUUAUAGCGAUACAAUCUGAUUUAUAUUGUUAAUCAAAUAAAUAAUCAGCAAAAUCAUUAUCUUUUUAUUUUAUCUCGUGAUGAAUAGUAUUUUUGAUGUUGGCCGAACAGUGUUUUAGUUUUUAUUUAUCGCGAUACAAUUUGAUUUACAUUGUUAAUCAAAUAGAUAACUACAAAAAUCAUUGUUUCCUUAUUGAUUCCGAUGAUAGAUAGUGUUUCCGAUAACAAAUGAACAAUGUUAUUUUUACUGUUAACACUAAAUUAUUUAUCUUGUUAUUAUUUUUGUUAGCAUUUAAUUCUAACAAAAGGUAGUUUUGGUAUUAAUUAAAUCAGAGGAAAGUGAACUAAUAAAAAAAUAAGUAUGGAUAGAUUUUUAAUUUUGCAAUCCUCCAUGCAUAUCAAUUAAUAUAGCCCUUGAUUUUAUAUAAUAUUAUUUUCUUAAAACGAUAGGAGUUCCGGACUUGGCUCAUAAAUCCAUAAUCCCCUUCUCUCUACGAAAGAGUGUUAGAACUUAGGGCACAAAAAACCAACUCCCUUUUAUCACCACCUCUUUAAUCUGUUUAUAUAAUUUUGUUUUUUGAUGUGUAUAAUACAAAUCAGAAUCAAUUGUUUUAUUUGGCAAAAUUUUAGCACCAAUUUUCAGGACUUAAUUUUUUUUUUAAAUACCUUUAGGCUACCUCCAUUAGUGGUCUCUAAAGUUAUAUCUAAAGAUUAAAAUAUUAGAAAAUAAAGAAAAAUAAUGAAAGAGAAAAAGCAACAUCUCUGUUUGAGAAACAAUACUAGUAUGGUGCUAAUGAGAGACUCUUCAGCUUACAUGUUAUAUUUCAUGUGGUCCAAUAUUUUUAAAAAAUUAAUCAUUAAUAUUUCAGUUUUAAGAAACUCUCCUGAGACAAUGGAGAUGCUCUUACAUAGAAAUAUAUCUAACUAACAGACCAUAACAUGAUUAGUAAGGUCAAAACACCAAAAGAGAUAACUUACAUUAUGGUGAGGCUGAGUCACUGGAGGUGGAGGCCUGAAGUUCAGAUGAAGUGGUUGCGGCAACGCAGUAGUGUGGUGGGUCCGGCUUCUCUCGAAGAACUCCUCCACAUCUGAGUCUGAGUCUUCUUCAUCGCAGACAGGCAUGUGAGCCAUGGGUGGACGGCCAUGGUUGGCCGGAAGCCUCAUGCGGGCUUGAUGGUCAAAGAAGCUUCCUUCUGACUCCAUAUGAGUCACAAACUCCUUGUGCUCCUCGAACCCGAAGCCGCGGCUUCUCCCGUGUCUGUGCCCGAACCCUCUGGUAAGCUUAUCAAGCAUUUUUCUUUAAAUAUAUACUUGUGUUAGUUUUCUUUGAUAGGGAUAAGUAAUUAAAAUCUUUCAGGUGUUUUAAUAUAUACAAUUCUUGUACUGUAGUAUGACACCAUAUUGCAAUUAUUUGUAAUGGGAUUUGAAUCUUAUUCUCUUUUCUACCACCACCAUACCGAAAGUUGAGUAGACAUAUUUAUUCUGAUUCCGUUCUUCUUAAUUAAUGAUUAGUCCAAUUCACGUGGAAAAUUCGAAUUCUUAAUUACUGAAUAUCGAUGGAGGCAUAUUAUAUGAUCUAGUUUAGUUCUACUACGGUUUUAAUUUUGGUUUUAUUAUGUAUUGAUAUCAAAUCUGUUUGGGGUAAAACUGUUAUUUCAUUUUUGAGUGUAUCACUUAAUUAUUAUGUGUAAUUGAGUUUAUGUAAAUUAAACCAUGUAGCGUCAAAAACUUGUCUUUUAGUUUUUGACCUUUGGACUAGUUCUAAAGGUGUUUAGGCAUAAUCCUAUGUGUACGGCCGCUUCUACUUGUGCUCCACGAACUCUAGGUAAUGUGGACAUGCUACGUGGUAAGAUGAACACUUUCUUAUGAGUUAUGAAUGGUCUGAUGGACUCAAGACGUCAAAAAGUUUCGCAGGCAUUGACGAUUGCAUAGUCCCUUCAAUCUUCAUCAAGUCCAUUCAUCAUGACUCGAGACAUGGAUACUUACAAGGGGGCAAGGUACUCACGAAUUAAGAGACAUUUAUGUUUGAAAUCUCUAUUUAGGUUAAUUAAUGUUAUUUCCUUUGCAUGUACCUUGAACAAAUAAAUUCAAUUCAAGUAACUCGCCAUAUAAGAUAAAAACCAUAAAACUAACAAAUAUAGACUCUCCAAACAAUCAUCUUCAUCACCAUGUACCUCAUGAUUCACUUGUCGACCAACCCAAC